rnacentral:rRNA from 1 species
AACGAACGCUGGCGGCAUGCCUAACACAUGCAAGUCGAACGAGACCUUCGGGUCUAGUGGCGCACGGGUGCGUAACGCGUGGGAACCUGCCCUUAGGUUCGGAAUAACUCCCCGAAAGGGGUCCUAAUACCGGAUAAUGUCUUCGGACCAAAGAUUUAUCGCCUUUGGAUGGGCCCGCGUUGGAUUAGCUAGUUGGUAGGGUAAAAGCCUACCAAGGCGACGAUCCAUAGCUGGUCUGAGAGGAUGAUCAGCCACACUGGGACUAAGACACGGCCCAGACUCCUACGGGAGGCAGCAGUGGGGAAUAUUGGACAAUGGGCGAAAGCCUGAUCCAGCAAUGCCGCGUGAGUGAUGAAGGCCUUAGGGUUGUAAAGCUCUUUUACCCGGGAUGAUAAUGACAGUACCGGGAGAAUAAGCUCCGGCUAACUCCGUG